CAAAUUUAGAGAAGGCUUCACAGGAGAGAGAAACUUGAGCUGAAGCCAGAAGGACGAGGGCCAUUCCCAGAGGAGGAAACUGAGUACCAGACCUGGCUUCUUGUCCUGUGAGCAAUGAGGCAUUUCCAAUUUUUGGAGUUCAGUGCUUCCAUCCAUAAAAUGAGGCUGUUGACCGGUUUUCUUCCAUCCCCGACAAUCAGGAAUUCUAAGCAGAGUUUCCAUAGUUGUCUUGACCAUGAUCUAGCUUGACCUUGGCUUUGAACUUGACCUUGAACUGGACUCUCAUUCAGACCCACAUUAUCCCAGUCAUCCUGACCAUGUUAGCUGUGUCAUGAUCACAGGAACAGCAUCUGCAAUUAUGUGAUUGUAUACAACUCUAGCAAAAGAAUAUAAAUAAAG